CAGUCGCCGCGGUAAUACGAGGGGGGCAAGCGUUGUUCGGAAUUAUUGGGCGUAAAGCGUGCGUAGGCGGUUACUCAAGUCAGAGGUGAAAGCCCGGGGCUCAACCCCGGAACUGCCUUUGAAACUAGGUGACUAGAAUCUUGGAGAGGUCAGUGGAAUUCCGAGUGUAGAGGUGAAAUUCGUAGAUAUUCGGAAGAACACCAGUGGCGAAGGCGACUGACUGGACAAGUAUUGACGCUGAGGUGCGAAAGCGUGGGGAGCAAACAGGAUUAGAUACCCGUGUAGUCCCUGUCUCUUAUAC
rnacentral:rRNA from 1 species